AUUGAACACUGGCGGCAGGCCUAACACAUGCAAGUCGAGCGAGCGGCGGACGGGUGAGUAAUGUCUGGGAAACUGCCUGAUGGAGGGGGAUAACUACUGGAAACGGUAGCUAAUACCGCAUACCAUCAGAUGUGCCCAGAUGGGAUUGGCUAGUAGGUGGGGUAACGGCCCACCUAGGCGCCGAUCCCUAGCUGGUCUGCGAGGAUGACCAGCAACACUGGAAAUGAGAAACGGUCCAGACUCCUACGGGAGGCAGCAGUGGGGAAUAUUGCACAAUGGGCGCAAGCCUGAUGCAGCCAUGCAGCGUGUGUGAAGAAGGCCUUCGGGUUGUAAAGCACUGUCAGCGGGGAGGCGUUACCCGCAGAAGAAGCACCGGCUAACUCCGUGCCAGCCGCCGCGGUAAUUC
rnacentral:rRNA from 1 species